CGACAGCCUGCUUUCACUUCUUUUGGCGCUUCAAAAAAUAAAGAAACAGAUGCCUCCCGAUGUCUUGACGCAGAGACCCCACCUUCACUGUUGAUGAAUUAGUUCUUAUUUAGGUUCCCUCCCAAAUAUUUAAAGUCAAAGGAGACGAGAACAGAGGGCG